CUGAGAGCCACCAGAAAUAACAAUGAAGACAGCCACAUACGGGGCAGACCUGGGCCACUUUGCAGGAAAGGUUGGACACCAAUGAUCUCCACCUGAAUGGAUUUGUUUCAUGCAUUUGAAGCUUUUCCCUCUGUCUGGUGAAUUUCAGACAUCGGUUCACACAGAGCAGAGAUACUUUUGUGGAGCAGAAGGAGGUUGGGAGCCUCUGGGUGUUUGUCCUCCUUUUUCCUCCUCACCCAAAUCAUGCUGUUUGGUCAAACACAUACGCCACACAACAGAGUGGACAAAUUGGGUGGUCAAAUUUGAUGGCCACACAUACAUUUUGUUUAGGCUUGAAAGUAAGAAUGUUUCACAUAAAAAAACCCAGAUUGCCAAUAUCUCUUUACAAAGAUCAGACAAUACGGAGCCCCCAAUCCCAUACAGCUACCAUUGGCCAGAGCUGAGUAGCAGACACCCUGGCCCCCUUUCAAUGGGGCAUUUGCUUUUCAAUUGACCGAAGUCCCCACCCUGCCCUAGUAACUCUCCAGACAGAGCGGCAGCUGCCAUUUGUCACUGCACUCAGGCAAUGUUUAUCUCUAUGCAACCUCUGCACUUGGCCACUGAUGCAACCCGCCUAGCUCCCAAAGUCACCAGAAUUGACAAACCCUGCUAUAUAAUAUAGCCACACUCAUCUUUCAGAAUCUGAAAUGAUAUACACUGACAAUGUUAAUCAAUUCAGCCAAUUCAAUCAAACUUAAAAUUAAUAAAGCAAAAAUCAAUCAAAAUGAUUGCUUUUGAUUAAACUCAGCAGCAAUCAGGUGUGAUGCCCUCCUCUGUCACACCGUCAUUAUCUCUCUCUCGCCCUGUCUCCUGGACUGUCAUC
rnacentral:lncRNA from 1 species